UACAGAGGUCUCAAGCGUUGUUCGGAUUCAUUGGGCGUAAAGGGCGCGUAGGCGGCGGUGUAAGUCGGGUGUGAAAUCUCAGAGCUCAACUCUGAAACUGCACUCGAUACUGCUCUGCUUGAGGACUGGAGAGGAGACUGGAAUUCACGGUGUAGCAGUGAAAUGCGUAGAUAUCGUGAGGAAGACCAGUGGCGAAGGCGGGUCUCUGGACAGUUCCUGACGCUGAGGCGCGAAGGCCAGGGGAGCAAACGGG
rnacentral:rRNA from 1 species